GGAGCAACUGUGGCAUCUGAGAUGUUGGUCUGGGUGAGCCUGUCCAGGAGGAGAGAGGCUUCACACCUGCACCUCUGUACCCAGGUAGAUCCCCGAGGCUGGGACGUCCAGAACCCCUUUGUUUCUAAACACCAUUCUCCUGUUGUCAUCCAAUUACUGGACUCUACCAGGAUACUGCUACCUGCUGAGAGGCCCGGGAGCUCUUCUGGAGACUAUGCCCUAUCCUACGUCAUCACCUGCAGCUGGUUCCAGGCUCCAAGGAUGAAUUGGCGGGAAUGGACUUUCCACCCUCUUUUAUAAAGCGUGUCUGCCAUUAAAAAUUUGAACCUUG